AUGGUUGGACGAAAUAUUAACUGUUUCAUUUAAAUUUUUUAUAGAAUUUUAUUUUUUAGUCAAAAAGCUAAAAUUUAUUUAAAAGACGAGAAGACCCUAUAAAUCUUUAUAUUUUAUUUAUUUUAAUUAUAAAGAUUAAUUUAAUUUUAAUAAACUAAAAUAUUUUAUUGGGGUGAUAUUAAAAUUUAAAAAACUUUUAAUUUUUAAAAACAUUAAUUUAUGAAUAAUUGAUCCAUUAAUAAUGAUUAAAAAAUUAAGUUACUUUAGGGAUAACAGCGUAAUUUUUUUGGAGAGUUCAUAUCGAUAAAAAAGAUUGCGACCUCGAUGUUGGAUUAAGAUAUAAUUUUGGGUGUAGCCGUUCAAAUUUUAAGUCUGUUCGACUUUUAAAUUCUUACAUGAUCUGAGUUCAAACCGGUGUAAGCCAGGUUGGUUUCUAUCUUUAAAAAAUUAUAAUAUUUUAGUACGAAAGGACCAAAUAUUAAAAUAAUUAUAUUUUAAAAUAUGAAUAUUAUUAAUAU
rnacentral:rRNA from 2 species